rnacentral:rRNA from 1 species
UGGGGAAUAUUGCACAAUGGAGGGAACUCUGAUGCAGCGACGCCGCGUGAGUGAUGAAGGACUUCGUUUCGUAAAACUCUGUUCUAUGGGAAGAAAAGGACUUUACCAUAGGAGAAAGCUCCGGCUAAAUACGUGCCAGCAGCCGCGGUAAUACGUAUGGAGCGAGCGUUGUCCGGAAUUAUUGGGCGUAAAGGGUGCGCAGGCGGCUUUACAAGUUGGAUGUGAAAUAUUGUGGCUCAACCACAAACGUGCAUCCAAAACUGCAAAGCUUGAGUUAAGGAGAGGUAAGUGGAAUUCCUGGUGUAGCGGUGGAAUGCGUAGAUAUCAGGAGGAAUACCGGUGGCGAAGGCGACUUACUGGACUUAAACUGACGCUCAGGCACGAAAGCGUGGGGAGCAAACAGG